CCCUUAGAUGUCCUGGGCCGCACGCGCGUUACACUGAUGCAUUCAACGAGCUUAUAACCUUGGCCGAGAGGCCUGGGCAAUCUUGUUAACGUGCAUCGUGAUAGGGAUAGAUUAUUGAAAUUAUUAAUCUUGAACGAGGAAUUCCUAGUAAACGCAGAUCAUCAAUCUGCAUUGAUUACGUCCCUGCCCUUUGUACACACCGCCCGUCGCUCCUACCGAUUGAACGAUCCGGUGAAUUAUUUGGAGUAGCUCUGGAAGUUGCAGAACUUCCUAUGUCACGAAAUUUUGUAAACCUUAUCGUUUAGAGGAAGGAAAAGUCGUAACA
rnacentral:rRNA from 1 species